rnacentral:rRNA from 1 species
CCUACGGGAGGCAGCAGUAAGGAAUAUUGGUCAAUGGAGGCAACUCUGAACCAGCCAUGCCGCGUGCAGGAAGACGGCCCUAUGGGUUGUAAACUGCUUUUGAACUAGAGAAAACCUUGGUACGUGUACCGAGUUGAUAGUAUAGUUAGAAUAAGCAUCGGCUAACUUCGUGCCAGCAGCCGCGGUAAGACGAAGGAUGCAAGCGUUAUCCGGAUUCAUUGGGUUUAAAGGGUGCGUAGGCGGACUGAUAAGUCAGUGGUGAAAUCUCUCAGCUUAACUGAGAAACUGCCAUUGAUACUGUUAGUCUAGAGUACAGAUGAUGUGGGCGGAAUAUGACAUGUAGUGGUGAAAUACUUAGAUAUGUCAUAGAACACCGAUUGCGAAGGCAGCUCACAAAACUGUAACUGACGCUGAGGCACGAAAGUGCGGGGAUCAAACAGGAUUAGAUACCCUGGUAGUCCGCACCGUAAACGAUGAUUACUCGUUGUUGGCGAUAUGACAGUCAGCGACCAAGCGAAAGCGAUAAGAAUCCACCUGGGGAGUACGCCGGCAACGGUGAAACGUCAAAUGAAUUGACGGCUUGGAGGACGNGCGACGGACGACACGAGGGGAGGAGG